rnacentral:lncRNA from 1 species
UUGCUGGUCCUUUUCUCCUCCUCCCACUCAGCAGACUCCUUCUGGUCCUUCCCCCCUCCUUCUUUUGGCUGACCUCCCUGCACCGAAUAGCCUUCUCCUCCUCCCGGGGGUGUUUGUGGGCUGGGAAAGGGCUUGGAAGCACAUCUAGGCCGGGGCGAAGAAGGUGCUGAUCAUUCGUGCAUUUAUUUUGAUUAGUCAUGAUUUUCCAAUAUGAGCUAUUUAAAUGGAAGUUCUUUCAUUCUUAUUCCCUUAAUUUAAUAUGCAUAUGCACAGUAGCAUUCUCCGCCCUACUUAUGAAGAGCUAUCUCUUGGAUGUUUAUAUUUCAUUUUUUAAGCUUAAAUUUGUUAUUUUUGUUAUUAUUUUUUUUAAUGUGCGCAGAGGAAAUAUGCUUACUUGCAGGCAUCCAUCCUUUUGUUUUGUUUUGCAUGUUUAUUGGUGAGAUAUUCUUCUACAGGUUGGCACCCGUAAGUUCUAGUUUGAACCAUGAACUAGUUUUUCUUUUUCUUUUUUUUUACCUAUUUGCUAACAAAAAACUAUUUGUCAAAAAUAACAAAAAAACUUAGAAAAUAGUCAAGUAGCAAUGUUGGAGGAAACUUUGAGAUUAAGGAAACCGAUGAGGAAAUUUUCGAAUCAUGCAUCCUAAACCUAAAAGUUAGUGCAUGAUAAGUCGAUCGCUUAGUAAUUGUUGGAUGAGGCAAGAGCAUUAUUAUUUUGUCUCUCUACAGCAAGGAUAGAUAUUCUAUAUUGAUAUUCAUACAGAGCAUAUUCUUGGAUUGACACAUAUAGUAAUCUUCAAAUUUUUAAACUCAAGUAAUUCCAAAUCGCCUUCUGCAUUAUUCUGCCAAUAACACGAAGAUGAACAGAAAGUAUAAGAGAAUUAACACAUCAAUAACAGAAAAUAGAAAAAAACAUAGAAAUAGAUUAGCAAAGACAUAUAGAAGCAAAGAAUUUUGGGCAACUUGACUCACCCAUUGGAAUCUAUCGCAUCCCUCGAGAUUUUCAUAUUCUUCGUUGUCUCCUUGUACAGAUCCUCGAGGCUGCAAAGCAACAUCCGCUCGAUCUGUAGAUGCCUCCCCGCCCCUGCUCCCUCUGCCAAAUGCAGAGAAGAUAUCCUUCCCAAAGAUGCCUCCCAGAAAUUGAGCACCUGCGUACUAGUCGUAGAUCGCCCUCUUCUGCGUAUCGCUCAAAACCUAAUUUCAUGAAGGACCAAGAUAAAAAAGAGCAACAACUCGAAGAGAGAGAGAGAGAGGACAUCGUAGGCUUCGGAGAUUUUGCUUGAUCAUGGCCUCACUGCCNNNNNNNNNNNNNNNNNNNNAGAGAGAGAGAGGACAUCGUAGGCUUCGGAGAUUUGCUUGAUCAUGGCCUCACUGCCAUUUCAUGGCGAGCUUGCAAGAGGCGAGCGACGGAGAGAGGAGAGGGGGGCGGCUGGAGGGGUUAGAGAUCAGAGGCAAGGGGUUAGGAAUUUGUAGAGAGGAGGAAGGAGGGGGCGAGCGAUGGAGAGAGAAGGGGAGGGGGGCAGCUGGAGGGGUUAGGGAUCGAGAGAUAGGGGGUAGGAAUUUGUAGCGAGGAGGGGGGAGGAGGGAUAAUGGCCUCCAACAAUGCUUUCUAAAGCGUCGUUGGGAUAGUAUACGAGAUCAUGGAACCCAAAUAAUAUCUUUCAGCUAGCCAUUUUAGGGUGAAGUCCUGAGUUGUUACACGACCAGGCCAAGUGCACAAAACCCCAAGUUUGGUAAUCUUGAGGGAAGACGAUUUUAUCGAUCCUUUGACCAAGUGGUGGUCAAGGACAAGGAGUGUUCUAAAGAUCUUGGGCUGAAGUGGCUCGAGUUGGACUGAGAAGGUAGUGGGAGACAGCCCCCUGUGCCUGCAGAGGUUGAAAAGGCUAGGGGAACACCUCAAUGAGGUCGAUUCUUUGAUGAAGCUGAGCUUCCAUGGCUUGUCGACAAGCCCUUGGGCAUCGGUCGCCGCCACCUCGAGUUAACAGAGAAAUGGAAGCUCCACCAUGGAUUUGAGCUCUUGUUGGCUUCGGAAGAGAGAACAACAUAACAUAUUAUGGUGUUUCCAAUGCCACGAGCACUUCUACGGCAGCCACUGAUCUGAGAGCUUCCUCUCUGGGGAGACCAGCUACCCUCAGCUAGUUAGCCAAAGACCACCUUCGGAUCAUGGCUGGUGGCUAGCCAGGUUUGGUAUCGGAGAGCCGAGGUGGCUCUAACUCGGUCCGUUGCAAUGCCGGCCGGGUUGUCUCUGAACUCGAGCAUCUCAGUUCUUGUGGCGACUCCCAUGGCUCCCGAUGCAUCCCUACCGGCGCUCGGAGUCAACAGGUAAGACAUCAUAUGUUGACUUGGAUGGUUGUCACGUCUUACGAGGCAUGAAGCCGUAUCUAGAGCCCCCCAUGGAUAACAUUUAUCCAAAUUUAUUUUUAUAUCUAAAUUUAUCUAAAUAUUAAUAAAAAUUUAAAAAUACGGAUGUUCAAUUUUAUUUCUAAUUUUAUUAAAUUUCAUCUAGCACUCAUAAAUUUUUUAAAAAAUAAAUAAUCAUAUUAACAUGCUAUUAAAUUGAUUUAUUAUCACUUAGUAAUAAUAUUUUUAAUUAUAUGGUCACAAAGUUUAAUUAUCCAAUUGAUAUAUAUUUUUUUGGUAUUUGAUUUAUUCCAUAUCCAUUUAAAAUAACUAUAAAUAUAAUUUUUUGCAUCUAACUAAUAUCCAUGUCCGUAUUUAUAUUCAUCAAAUAAAAUAAAUAUGGAUAUGCAUAUAAUAAUAUUAGAUCCAAUUUCGACCCUACCUAGAGGUGGGGCACUGGAUGCUAACCGCCUCGGUAUUAUUUGGUAUUUUUGCAAUGUCUCUUUGUACUCUCGCAUAGAUGCAACUCCAAAAUAGAGGCUCUACCCACAACAGCUCUCGAUCGCAUGGCGCCUAGAGGUUAAGGUUGAGCCAGGUCUAAAUAAUUGAACACCAAACUCUAAUAAAGGUAAGGCUCAAUCUUUGGCCACUAUGAGUUAAUGGGUCCCCAGAUGCUUGCAAGGAUGUGUAUGCUACAAUUGCUGCUAAGGUGAAGGCAGCCAUUGGUGUGUCUUAACCUAAUGUGGAACUGUCAGUUCUACUGUUCCGAUGCUAGAGAUGGAUCUCCUAGUUUCUGUUACAGGGCUUAUUGACUUGGGUGCCCUGGGGCAUUCUCUAGCCUUCUAAGGUGUUUUGAUCCAACCUUCUUCUAUGCCUGCCUCCAACCAUUGAGUUGUUCGAGCUGCUGCACUAAUCCCCUAGUGUCCAUUUGAUGGCACAUAAUCAAAAGAAAUCUCUCAUCACCACUCUUUUUACCCUAGAUCUAGGUUCAAUUCCAUAUAGUAAUAUUUCCACCUACUUCUUAAAAAAAAAUACAGAUUAAUCCCUACAAUCUUUCACAUUUCUGUAUUAAUUUAUAUUUUUUAUAUAUAUUUAUAUAAAAUUGUUAUAAAGUUUUCUAUGUGUAUAAAUUGGUCGUUCCUCUAGCUUUUCUUCAUCGAAUACUAGUUAUGAUUAACCAAACAUGUAAAAGGAUAAACUUGCCCUUAGGUUACGUAUAAAUGCGGUUGGAACUCAGAUUUUCUCGCUUGCUUCGCCCUUUUUUUCUGUUUUGCCUUCUUGCUCAAAACUUGGCCAAAAGGGGAUCAAAGACGAAGGCGCAAAUGCUCGAGGUUGGUUAAAUACAAGGAUAUAAACAAAAUAACUAAAAAUAUGAAGUAGUUAACACCAUUAGAACAUGGAAAUAAAAUAACCUAAGGGACAUAUAAGUAAUAAGAUAUAAUACAAAAAUUUGAAAGACAUCUCCUGCAAAAAAAAAAUAUAUAAAUAUUAGAAUCUAACCAAAAGUAAGGCAAAAACUAUCAAUACAGCUUUAUUUCUUUCCUCCUUUACCAUUUAGUCCAUGGAAAUCCAGCUUGGCAAAAAUUGGAAGUUGGUUGUGGGUAGAAAGUACUUGUAUAUUUAUCAAGAGCCGAAUAGGAGACCAGUAUUUGGACAAUUACCAUAUUUGGUCCCAAGGUUGUAACUCAGCCAUUGUCAUCAGCUUUUCUAUUUAUCUUUGACAAACAAGCAUGAGGAUUAGAUAUGUCAGAUGCGGCGGCUCGAAACUAAAGUGGAUUUUAACCAUGAUGAUUUUGUGGUGAUCCGUCGCUUGUCCAUGGUAGGUGGCGAGGAUUUGAAAGUAAAGCUUUCGGAAAGUAUCUCUUAUGACACUUCAUUUCCCCACGUAUUUCUCAGGUGGGAAGCAUUUGCAAAGGUCACUGCCACUUGGUGAAUUGUCACACCCUUUUCUUCUUUAUAAUUAAAUAUUAUUACCAAGCAAGGGCUUGAUUAAGAGGAGAUUUCAUUCUCAAACUUUAAUAGAUGUUCCUCCACCUGUUUUGCCAAGAGUGGAUGAAGGAUUAGUGGUGAUCCCACACUUAUUCUCAAUUUUUUCUAACCAUGAGCUGAUUCAAGGGUGCGUGGUAAUGUGGUAUUCAUUUCAAGUGAAGCUUCUUCCUUUUUGCCUUUUUGCCCCGUGUGGAUCCGGGUCAGCACCCAGUUUCUCUCACGUUCGGGGAUGAGACCAAGGAAGGUGGUCAGUGGUAUGUCAUUUUAUUUUCUUUAGAAUAUAGCUGACGAGGCUUAGCCUCCAUCUUUAUCCACCCAAGGUUGCAAAAGUAAUGGUGGAUAUCGACCAAACGAAGGGUCGGCCAUGCUCUGGUCCCUAGUGCUGCACCAGAAUCAGGCUGCCGGAAUGGAUCAGAUAUGGCCUGAGAUUAAAAUAUAAAAAGGAAGAAAAAAAAAAGGCAUGAGAUAAAGCACUUAAAUAAAAAAUGACUCCGCAAGCUCAAAAUAUUUAGGAUUUGUUUGGAUAUCUCUAGAUGAAUAUUUUAAGUCUAUUAGCCUAUCUGGCCUUCAUUUAUUAUUAUUAUUUUUCUCUCUUCUACGAAAUUCUAGCAGUAGGUGUGUUGGAUUAGUAUAGGCCAUGCCCAAAUAGGCGGUCUAAUUUUUAAAUCCAAAAAAUCUAAGUAAAUUCUCCUUAAUUUUUCAAAUAUGUUCUUAAAAAAGAGUCCACAUGUGAUCAGGAUCCGUGCGGGCGUGUGUUUAGUUCUACAUUUGUUAUUCGCCGAAAAAAUCUUGGGUGCUUAUACAACACUAAAGAAAAAAAAUACCUUCCAACUAGUUAUUUUGGAUGAGGUCCUAAGUCGUUACAAAUAGUAUCAGAACGGACUCGGCCCAUAGUCUAUGUAGACUAGAAAACACUGCAGCAUAGGUUCAUGGAGACUGACUACGGGUCUAUCGUGGUACUUAUGAUUAGAUUUGAAUGAAUUUGAACCCUUAGCCUAAUGAUGACGUCAAGGCUUGAACGAGAAAAAUAUGUGAGGACUUGUGUUGGUGUAUAUUUAGUUCUACGUCGGUUAUUCGCCGAGAAGAUUUUGGAUACUUAUACAAAACUAAUGAAAAAUAUCUUGCGACUAAUUAUUUUAGAUGAAAUUCCGUACAUCAUGAUCCAAACCCAAACAUCAAAAAUCUGCCAUAAUUUUAGAGCUACAAUGUAGACGAGGAGUCCCCUGUUUCUGUUCACUGCAAUAAUGGGCAAGUUUUCAACAUGUUAUUAGUUAACCUAACUCGGGUUUACUUCAGCAAUAAAGAAAAGAGAUAUGCCGUUUGUCAGUUGUUUUUUUUUGUUUUGUGGGAGUUUUGACCUGUAAGUGGGCUGCCAUGCCCGUCUCUCCAUGUCCACUCUCGCCGAUGGCUGUGAGUGCAAGGAGAGUGGAAGGCAGCCGCGGCCAUGGCUGAUGGUGGGACAGGCUCCUCUGUAAAAGAAGGUGACAAAUUUUUUCGCAGGGGGAGACAAACCCUCGAUGGCAUGUUUCCACGAGCCAUUCCAGUGUCAGCAGAAAGCAACCAAUAGAAAGCUGUGAAAGCUAGCUAACCAAUCCAAACAUAAACAGCAGUCCACUUGUUGCCCUCUGCCCUAUGUGUGUCUCCAUGGAUUUGACAUCGCAUUUUUAGAUCCACCAUUUAAUAGCUGCAUGCUACGGACACUGAAAUGACCUGCAGAUAUUGGGCACCCCCACCGCACGUAUCUUGGCCGGAGUCGUGUCCUGUCAGGAGACGACAUUCUCCACUCUUGACUUCUCGCUGGCUGGUCAACUAUGGAGUGAGCCAAUUCUCGAACUAAAAAAAACUUCAUCUCAAGCACAAGUGAGAAACCAUGACCACCAUGGUCUGCCAAAGAAUGCAUGGAGUCGCACUGGGCCAUGACGAAAGAUGAAGUGGCGUUUUAGUCCAAACAAAUUUUUCGUGAAGCAAAUAAAAUUGUAGAUUGAAUGGCCGGCCAUUUAUGUGGCUAGUCAUACAAAUCGUUCCAUGUGGGCUGGAGAUGAAAAGCUAUCUCGGGCACUUUGAAAUAUUCUGUUUUCUGGCUUUAUUGAGUGUAUUCGUACUCGUCAGAUAUGAAUCAUCCGUUCUAGCAAAAACAAAAAAUAUGGAGCCAACUAAUCUUAGCUUAGUAUACUGGCACCCUUAUCUACUUAGGAGAGGUAUGAGAAAUUAUUAGGGGAUCAUGUCCACUGUGGACCUCCCAUGAGUUUAAUUUUCUUUCCCUUCUCUUCUUUCUUUCUUUUUUUAUGUGUAAUAGCAGCAUAUGGUAGAAUGAAUUCAUCCUAGGUUCACAGUGGAUUUAGUUCAAUUGAUAAUUUCUAGGAGAGAUAUGGAGUUCAAACUCUAAUAAUGGUAUCCAAUAGAGGAAUAUAGCAAAGAAGGGAAACAUCCAAGUGUCAAUGUUCAUCGAGGGCGAACAUUUGGGGAAACAUCUUCAAAUAUCUCGAAGUGUUUGGCAUAGGUAAUUCUCAAAAACAAUAUGGAGAUGUAACUCCACCAUGGAACCAUGAAGAAGGAUCCUUAUCUCAUCAGAUAUGCUUGCAGGCAUUCCGACAAGAGAAAGCCAAGUGGAUGGACAGCUAUAAGAUAGAGCUUUCUCUUACCACUUUGAAAUAGGACAAAAUAAUUAAGUUGUAGAACAAACUACGAUUGCCAUUAUGAGUAGCAACCACAAUGACAUGGUAAGCUACAAAAUUAGAUGUUAUUCGUGAUGAAGUUUUGUAUUAGAUGAAGAAUUUUAUGUCAUAAAAAUCUUUUUUUUGAGAAGCCGAUAUUUAGGUAUAUAAUAUUUAAAAAAAUAUUUUUUGCAUGUUUGGUUAGCUCAUAAAAAAUACAUAGAAAAUAUAUUUUGUAGAAUAAUUAUGUUUGGUUGGGCGUAUGCUUUUCCAAAAGGAAAAUAUAAAAUAUAUUUGAGUCCCUUAACAGAAGUACUAUAAAAAAAAACAUCACAUAUAUAAAAAUAUUUUUGGAAAAAAUAUCAUAAUUUUCAGAAAAGUUGUUUUUUUUCUGUUUUACGUGGAGUUUUUUUAUGAAAUAUAAAAAUAUUGAUCCUAUUAAAAAAAAUUAUCACUUUCCCAUCAAAUAUGAUUUUUUUUUUUAUGUUUUUUUGUUGUUGAUCAGGCUUUCCAUGUCCCCUUCCCGAAUCAAAUGGAUAACCGGAAGCUUA